UCUCGUUUUCUGAUUGGGCCAUCCUACCCGCUCUCCUCUCCCUAUUCGUCCAACUCCCCCCUUUUUCUCUCCUGUUCCCUCUUCUUUUUCCUCGUUUUCUUCUUUUCUUCUUUCCGUUUUUUUUUUUUUGGUUUUUUUUUCUUUUUAUUAUUACUAAAAUAAUUUAAAUAGUAUUUCAUUCCAAUUACUUUCGAGUUAGUAACUCAGUAAAACUUUAAAAAUAACUCCAAAUUCAUUUCUACUUGUGCCUACACGUCCGUAAGAUCGAGCUCUAUCCAAAUAUGUCAAGAAACAUGAUAAAAUAUAUGAGAAUCACAAACAUCCUCGAAACACGCUUUGCCCCUAGGGCAUUUCCGUAAGUUCACGAAUUUAAAAUUAUAAAAACCAUACUUUUAGGAACGGGCUGUGACAAAAAAAAUUAUAAUAAUUAAUUUACAUGUGUGAAAAUUAUGAAAAAAAUAUGCAAACGCUCAUAGUCGCAUCCUCUACGCUUUGAGGAUGGGUAUAUGAUCGUUUGAAAUUUUAAAACCAUACAAACUCUCAUGAAUAGUAUUUUUAAGGGAGUUCAAAAUAAAGAAAAUUCAUAAUCAUUAAUGUAUAAGUUUGAAAGAUAUGAAAGAAUAACAAACGUUUAUAAUUGCAUCAUAAACGCUUAGAUGAUAGUUACAUGGUUGUUUAGAUUUUUAAAACCCUCCAAAUCUCACGAACAAUGUUUUUUAUUUGAGUGCAAAAUUAAUAAAGUAAUAAUAAUUAUUGUUCAAGUGUGAAAAAUGUAAUCACUCGUAAUGAAAAGCUUUACAACUUUUAUGAAUGGGUCAACUCCGAAAUUUAGUAUGUAUAUAGUAAUUUAGUAUUAUGUUUUACAUUUUUUUGGGGUCAAAUUAUGUUUUUCAUUUUCAUUUUUAUUGAUUUAAAAUAUAUUUUUCUUAAUAGGUAACGGGUCGGGUCAUAUUAUCUGAUAAUAUUAACAGGUUGAUUUCAGGUCGGGUCAUAUUACCCGUUUACUUUAAUGGGUAUUACAUGACACGACCCGUUAAGCUAUCAGAUAUAAUACGAAAACAACACGAAGACGAGAAACACGACACGAAUGCCAGGUCUACCUUGGAGGCAUCUGAGGCCGAGAAGGAGUAUGACGAGUCCGAUUUGGCCAACCUUCAGAAGGAAAAAGAUGAGGAAAGGGCGCUGAAGGAGCUAGGGAGAAUUUGAGCUCUUCCUUCAUUCUACAAUUUUUUUUCUUCAUUUCACAUCUGAGUACUUGAGUAAAAUAGUUCAAAAUGAAAUGGGGAUCUAUUUUAAAUUUCAAUAGUUGCUUCCACCAAACGACAUGUGUCUCGUAUACACAUGUGUCUCGUAUACAUGGCUUACACACGAGAAGGUACGUGAACUAAUGAAUCUCAUGUAUAAUCAUUACCAUUUAUGGUAUUUUGGUCAUUAGUUGAAAGUUUGGCAAUUGCCAAAUAUGACGAUGAAGCACACCAUAGUUGAAAGUUUGGCAACAAGUAUUGAGUAAAAUGAGGAUAAUAUGGAAAAGUAAAGAAGAUUUCCACUCUGAGUUGGAAACGCGUUGCCAAGAUUGAGUCUCACUCUAUAGAAAUGGUUUGCACGAAUUUUCCGCCUCUCGGUCAACCUAAAGAAUUGUUAAAAGUUACUCGUGGAAUCAUAUUGCAUGCCCAUCAGUCAAGGACCAAAGGCUGGCUAAGUGAAUGGUGUAGAAUGUGUCUUCUCUUGCAAGAAAGUAUAAGAGAUGUGCUCAGGUUGGUGAUAGGAUUAAAAGCACACCACAAAGUAGCACACAAAUGUCCUAUUGAUUUUCCUUAUUAACACUAAGAUUUGUCAAUUAUAGCAUAUGAAAAUAAGGGUCUUUCCCGCAGAAGAUUGUUUUAUCUAACUACCUAAAAUGUCACAAAAACUGGGUUGCUGUCCCUACUGACCAGCCACCGAAAAAUAAUUAUUAAACUGACUUAUACACAUCUAAAGUCUACGAAAUUUUAUAUGUAGAUACUAGACACAAAAAGCUACACUCACACAAAUUUUUGGGAUUUUUGGAGUUGAUUUUCUAUUUAAAUUAAAUCGAACAAAAACAGGAUAGAAACAAAUUUUAAGUAGUUCACAAAUUAAGAAAAACGAGUUAAGGGUAUUGCUAUCCACCACCAAAUAAUCAUGCAAACAUGUUAUGUUUCAUUCAAAUUUCUUUUAUUUCCGGAUGAAGAUGCUCAAGUUGGCUCAAUGUUAGAACUCAACCUAUUACUCUUUCUUACGUAGUAUGUUAAGAGAAUGGCGUUUUCAACUUAACUUAGUCCCUAACAUGCAAUCUAGAAUGGCGUGUUCAUAGAUUUAACAAGUAGAAAUCAUUAAGAACGAAAAGAGUUUGAGUCA
rnacentral:lncRNA from 1 species